ACUCUCAGAACGAGGAGGUAGUGACGAAAAAUAACAAUACGGGACUAUUAAUAGGCCCCGUAAUUGGAAUGAGUACAAUAUAAAUCCUUUAACGAGGAUCUAUUGGAGGGCAAGUCUGGUGCCAGCAGCCGCGGUAAUUCCAGCUCCAAUANCGUAUAUUAAAGUUGCUGCGUUUAAAAAGCUCGUAGUUGUAUCUCANUUCAUGUCAUANGGUCAACCANUUAUUCNGUGAUUACUUUUUGACUGAACAUUGAACCGAUUUGUUUUCUGAUGCUCUUUACCGAGUGUUAUUAACGAUCGGGAUCUUUACUUUGAAAAAAUUAAAGUGCUCNNAGCACGCCUUUCGCCUAAAUAUUCGUGCAUGGAAAAAUGNANUAANAUCUAGGUUCUAUUCUGUUGGUCUUUUGAACCUCACUUAAUGAUUAAAAGGGACAGACGGGGGCAUUCNNAUUGCGGCGCUUGAGGUGAAAUUCUUGGACCGUCGCAAGACAACCUACCAAGA
rnacentral:rRNA from 1 species